rnacentral:rRNA from 1 species
CUUGUCUCAAAGAUUAAGCCAUGCAUGUCUAAGUAUAAGCAAUCUAUACGGUGAAACUGCGAAUGGCUCAUUAAAUCAGUUAUCGUUUAUUUGAUAGUACCUUACUACAUGGAUACCUGUGGUAAUUCUAGAGCUAAUACAUGCUAAAAACCUCGACUUCGGAAGGGGUGUAUUUAUUAGAUAAAAAACCAAUGCCCUUCGGGGCUCCUUGGUGAUUCAUAAUAACUUCUCGAAUCGCAUGGCCUUGCGCCGGCGAUGGUUCAUUCAAAUUUCUGCCCUAUCAACUUUCGAUGGUAGGAUAGUGGCCUACCAUGGUGGCAACGGGUAACGGGGAAUUAGGGUUCGAUUCCGGAGAGGGAGCCUGAGAAACGGCUACCACAUCCAAGGAAGGCAGCAGGCGCGCAAAUUACCCAAUCCCAAUUCGGGGAGGUAGUGACAAUAAAUACUGAUACGGGGCUCUUUCGGGUCUCGUAAUUGGAAUGAGUACAAUUUAAAUCCCUUAACGAGGAACAAUUGGAGGGCAAGUCUGGUGCCAGCAGCCGCGGUAAUUCCAGCUCCAAUAGCGUAUAUUAAAGUUGUUGCAGUUAAAAAGCUCGUAGUUGAACCUUGGGUCUGGCUGGCCGGUCCGCCUCACCGCGUGCACUGGUCCGGCCGGACCUUUCCUUCUGGGGAACCCUAUGGCCUUCACUGGCUGUAGGGGGAACCAGGACUUUUACUGUGAAAAAAUUAGAGUGUUCAAAGCAGGCCUUUGCUCGGAUACAUUAGCAUGGAAUAAUAGAAUAGGACGUGUGGUUCUAUUUUGUUGGUUUCUAGGACCGCCGUAAUGAUUAAUAGGGAUGGUCGGGGGCGUCAGUAUUCAGCUGUCAGAGGUGAAAUUCUUGGAUUUGCUGAAGACUAACUACUGCGAAAGCAUUCGCCAAGGAUGUUUUCAUUAAUCAGUGAACGAAAGUUAGGGGAUCGAAGACGAUCAGAUACCGUCGUAGUCUUAACCAUAAACUAUGCCGACUAGGGAUCGGACGGUGUUUUUUUGAUAACCCGUUCGGCACCUUACGAGAAAUCAAAGUUUUUGGGUUCUGGGGGGAGU